UACGGAGGGAGCUAGCGUUGUCCGGAUUUAUUGGGCGUAAAGAGCGUGUAGGCGGCCUGACAGGUCUGCUGUGAAAACUCGAGGCUCAACCUCGAGAUGUCGGCGGAAACCGUCUGGCUAGAGUCCGGAAGAGGAGAGUGGAAUUCCUGGUGUAGCGGUGAAAUGCGCAGAUAUCAGGAGGAACACCAGUGGCGAAGGCGGGACUCUGGGCCGAUACUGACGCUGAGGAGCGAAAGCGUGGGGAGCAAACAGG
rnacentral:rRNA from 1 species